AUGGAGCCGGCCUUGAAAUACCACCCUUUAAUGUUUGAUGUUCUAACGUUGGCCCCUGAUCGGGGUUGCGGACAGUGUCUGGUGGGUAGUUUGACUGGGGCGGUCUCCUCCUAAAGAGUAACGGAGGAGCACGAAGGUUGGCUAAUCCUGGUCGGACAUCAGGAGGUUAGUGCAAUGGCAUAAGCCAGCUUGACUGCGAGCGUGACGGCGCGAGCAGGUGCGAAAGCAGGUCAUAGUGAUCCGGUGGUUCUGAAUGGAAGGGCCAUCGCUCAACGGAUAAAAGGUACUCCGGGGAUAACAGGCUGAUACCGCCCAAGAGUUCAUAUCGACGGCGGUGUUUGGCACCUCGAUGUCGGCUCAUCACAUCCUGGGGCUGAAGUAGGUCCCAAGGGUAUGGCUGUUCGCCAUUUAAAGUGGUACGCGAGCUGGGUUUAGAACGUCGUGAGACAGUUCGGUCCCUAUCUGCCGUGGGCGCUGGAGAACUGAGGGGGGCUGCUCCUAGUACGAGAGGACCGGAGUGGACGCAUCACUGGUGUUCGGGUUGUCAUGCCAAUGGCACUGCCCGGUAGCUAAAUGCGGAAGAGAUAAGUGCUGAAAGCAUCUAAGCACGAAACUUGCCCCGAGAUGAGUUCUCCCUGACUCCUUGAGAGUCCUGAAGGAACGUUGAAGACGACGACGUUGAUAGGCCGGGUGUGUAAGCGCAGCGAUGCGUUGAGCUAACCGGUACUAAUGAACCGUGAGG
rnacentral:rRNA from 1 species